GACGAACGCUGGCGGCGUGCUUAACACAUGCAAGUCGAACGAAGCUUGAUUACGGAUUCUUCGGUUGAGGUAUGAUAUGACUGAGUGGCGGACGGGUGAGUAACUCCUGAGUAACCUGCCCUUCAGAGGGGGAUAGCGUUUGGAAACGAACGGUAAUACCGCAUAAUGUAUUUUGAUCGCAUGAUCGAAAUAUCAAAGAUUUAUCGCUGAAGGAUGGACUCGCGUCUGAUUAGGUAGUUGGGGGGGUAACGGCUUACCAAGCCGGCGAUCCGUCCCCGAACCGAGGGGGGGAUCGGCCACAGCGGAAGUGGGACACGGGCCAGACUAGGAAGGGAGGCAGCAGCAGGGAAUCUUCGGCAAUGGGCGAAAGCCUGAAGGAGCAACGGCGCGGGAGUGAUGAAGGGCGUCGGAGCGUAAAACUCGGUUAUUAGGGAAGAAAAAAUGUGUAAUUAACGAGGCAAGUAUUGACGGUACCUAAUCAGAAAGCCACGGCUAACUACGUG
rnacentral:rRNA from 1 species